rnacentral:miRNA from 12 species
AGAUCUUGCUGGAAAAUGCAUAUAUACAUACAUAUAUAUAUAUAUGUGUGUGUGUGUGUGUGUGUGCAUGUGUAUACACACAUAUAUAGAUACUAAAU